UCGGGGCUGGAUGUGCCCGGCCAGAGCCGGGGGAUCGGGCUGGAUGUGCCCGAACCGGGGGGAUCGGGGAUGGAUGUGCCCUGCCCGGGGGGAUCGGGCUGGAUGUGCCCGGCCCGGGGGGAUCGGGCUGGAUGUGCCCUGCCCGGGGGGAUCGGGCUGGAUGUGGCCGGCCCGCGGGGGGGCUCCGGGCUGUGCCUGCGCCGUGCUCUGAGCCCCGGGAUCUCCGCAGCGCUCCCUCGCCCCGCACGGAGCCCAGCCCGCUCUCAGCGCAUCCCUGCGGCUUCCCGCAGCCCCGGCCGCAGCAGCGGCUCGCCCCGAGCAAAUGUCACCCGUAGCCGAUGGAGCAGACCCCGAGGUGCCGCGAAUGGAUCCCAGGAUUCUCAUUUUCCUUCUCUACGUGAUGAUCCUGCACGAGCUGGUGAGCGGCUGGAUGGAGUACCAGAAGCAGAUGGCCAAGCCCAAGAAGCAGGCGGGUCCGGUGUGGUCCUCGGGCAGCAGCACCCCCAGGGCAGCCCCCUCGUCCUUCUGCAGGCCGCUGGUGCACUCGGUGCGCCGGGAGCGGCACCGGGACUGGAGGAAGCCGGGCAGGAUCAUCCGCAAAGCCUGAGCAGGACCUGCUGGGGGCGUGGGGAGGCUGCUGAGGCACAGCCAGCCCCCCUCGGGUCUGCAGCGCCUCCCUCACCGAGAGCAUCCUCCGGGCAUCCUGCGGCUCAGCCCCUUCCUCCCGGGCAUCCAUCCCUGCCUGCGCAGCGGCCACCGCGGAGCAGGGGACAGCCCCAGCUGGGACACGGACUUUACCACCCAACACCACCCAAGCGACUUUUCUUUCUUCUUCCUGUUAGAAAUGAAAAUUUGUCCAGCCAAAUUAAAAUGAAAAAGUAAAAUAUUUAUUUGCAAUCAAAUUCUAUCUAGCCAGCCACAAGGAAAGAACAGAGCCGAGCCCGGGGUCAGCCCUGGGUGUGCAACAAGGAGUCAGCCUCAGCAGAGGUUUUCCUCUGUGCCCACACACCUCCAGCCUGGCACAAGUGGUUUUUAUAGGGAAAAUUCCACCUGAGGCCAAGAUUUCAGCAAUCAGUCUUUUCUUCCAUUCAGAGCCCAUAGGUUAAUGAGAUUUUCUUUUUUGGUGAUGAAGAAGAACAAUUCAGUGUCAGGAGUUGGUGAAUCCCUUGAUGAAGUUUAUGGGAACGCUGCAUUCCCAUGGAUCUGCCCGAGGAUUUCCAUGAGAUCCAUCCCGGGUCAUUCAUGUCAUGAUCAGCACCUGAGGUGCCCCCUGUAUCUCUCCAGCCAUGGCCCAUUCCCAUCUCCUGGCGAGCUGCACCUUCUUAUUUGUAAAUCAGUUUAAAUAUACACCCAGCCUCGCCUGCAAGGGUGGGGGGAAUCCUAAUACAAAUGUGUAUACUCCAACAAAUAUUCAAUAUCACACAUAUCAUACUAGAGACGGUGUGAAUUAUAUCUACUACACAUAACACUCCCCAAGGGCUGAGUGGAUGGAGAGCAGAUUUCCCAGGGGAAAAUGGAAUUUGCAGGGAGGGCAGGAGUCUUCCUGGGAAUACUCCCAGUGGUUUCAGGCUCCUCUUCUCCCACUCCAGGACUGCGUGGCCAGUCAGCAGCAUUUCCCAAAGUGGCUGCAAAACCUUCAGUGUCCAGUUGGCCACCACUCCCAGGAGGAGCUGCCUCCCCUGGGACACCCAGAAGUCACUUUGGGAAUGCUGGCUCCCUGUUAAGUCUCAUGCACUAAGAGCCUGCCAAUUAUUUUCUGCUUUUCCCCACCUUUGUUAAAUGAAUUGCUCCAGGGAAGAGGAGGGAAAAAGUCCUGAACCGGUGACUCAGAGUUAUGUCACCAAAUGCAAUUUACUGCAAUGGCCUUGUAAUUAGCAUUUUUGGAGCCUUCCCAGCAGCUGAGGCAAAUAAAUGUUAAGAGCCAUUUCUAAUGAGCA
ensembl:lncRNA